AUUGAACGCUGGCGGCAGGCCUAACACAUGCCAGUCGAGCGGAUGAAGGGAGCUUGCUCCUGGAUUCAGCGGCGGACGGGUGAGUAAUGCCUAGGAAUCUGCCUGGUAGUGGGGGAUAACGUCCGGAAACGGGCGCUAAUACCGCAUACGUCCUGAGGGAGAAAGUGGGGGAUCUUCGGACCUCACGCUAUCAGAUGAGCCUAGGUCGGAUUAGCUAGUUGGUGGGGUAAAGGCCUACCAAGGCGACGAUCCGUAACUGGUCUGAGAGGAUGAUCAGUCACACUGGAACUGAGACACGGUCCAGACUCCUACGGGAGGCAGCAGUGGGGAAUAUUGGACAAUGGGCGAAAGCCUGAUCCAGCCAUGCCGCGUGUGUGAAGAAGGUCUUCGGAUUGUAAAGCACUUUAAGUUGGGAGGAAGGGCAGUAAGUUAAUACCUUGCUGUUUUGACGUUAUCAACAGAAUAAGCACCGGCUAACUUCGUG
rnacentral:rRNA from 1 species